GGACAUGUGGCUCAGUAGUAGAGUGCUUGCCUUGCAUGCAUGAGGCCCUGGGUUCAAUUCCUCAGACCA
rnacentral:tRNA from 1 species